CCGGUCGCGUUCUAAGCCUACCAAAAAUAAAAAUCAUACGAAUCUUCUACGUGUUGAGUCUAGUUUUCAGUUUUGGUCGAGUAAUAACUCGAAAAGUAGUGUUCAGUUCGAUCUGCAUAUCUUGAAAAAGUGCUCGACAAUCAGUAGCUACUGAUGGACCUAUAUCGAAAAUUUUUCCAUAAGCAGCGGUGAGCAAUGUUUUUACCGUGACCAUCACGUGUCGAUGCUCCCGAUCGCCCCCCAAUUCGUCUCGAAGAAUUUGAGAUUUGUACUUGACAGAUGUCAAAGUUGCCCCCAGGUCUUCGCGGUACGGUUCAACUUUCAACAACACUAUAUGCCUACGUUGUGCUGAAAAAUUCCUAUACAGAUGGCAUUUCGCGAUAGAACCAAAUCAGGACAUCAAAGAGUUUCUCCGAAGAUCGAUUCCUCUUCAUCCUGUUUCGGUACGGAUGGAUCUGCGAUACAUGACACGUACAACUUCUUUCUUUGCAGAGGUCGCAGAUCCUCCAACAUUAUAGCCCGGACUCCCCCUGUUCAUCGGGGGGAGUCCAUGGACCGUCCCCUGGGACAGCGCGGCCUCCCACCGCCCCCGGG